rnacentral:rRNA from 1 species
AGUGAACGCUGGCGGUAGGCCUAACACAUGCAAGUCGAACGGCAGCACAGUAAGAGCUUGCUCUUACGGGUGGCGAGUGGCGGACGGGAGAGGAAUACAUCGGACUCUACUUUUUCGUGGGGGAUAACGUAGGGAAACUUACGCUAAUACCGCAUACGACCUACGGGUGAAAGCAGGGGAUCUUCGGACCUUGCGCGAUUGAAUGAGCCGAUGUCGGAUUAGCUAGUUGGCGGGGUAAAGGCCCACCAAGGCGACGAUCCGUAGCUGGUCUGAGAGGAUGGUCGGCCACACUGGAACUGGGACACGGUCCAGACUCCUACGGGAGGCAGCAGUGGGGAAUGUUAGACAAUGGGCGCAAGCCUGGUCCAGCCAUACCGCGUGGGUGAAGAAGACCUUCGGGUUGUAAAGCCCUUUUGUUGGGAAAGAAAAGCAGCAGGUUAAUACCCAGCUGUUCUGACGGUACCCAAUGAAUAAGCACCGGCUAACUACGUG